AUUUUAUCAGUAAGGAAACUGAGGUCCAGAAAGGGGACACAUCUCAGCCCAAGUCCCACAGCUCUGUACUAGCAAGACCUAGAUUAAAAUGAACGUUUGUAGGGAUAGAAUUUUGUCCCUGUUUGUAGGUGAACUGGCUGAAAUGUAGACCAAGGAGCUCCCUGAGUGGGCUGGGGCACUGUUGGUCCUUCGUCACUUGGUAGCCGCCCUACCUUCUUUAGCCCAGUAGUUACCACAGCUCCAAAGACCCCAUGAAGUCAGCAGCCAUGAGCCCCUCCCCACAGACCAGUAAGGGAAUACUGUCCAAAGGUGCAGGGCACUUCCAUCCGUCUUUCCAUGCAGGGCCACCCCCCUCUACUUUACCCCAGAGGCUCAGAUGAGCCCUCCCCAUCAUCCCACUAGGAUCCCCAUCAUCCCGCUAGGAUCCCCAUCAUCCCGCUAGGAUCCCCAUCAUCCCGCUAGGAUCCCCAUCAUCCCGCUAGGAUCCCAUCAUCAUCCCGCUAGGAUCCCCAUCAUCCCGCUAGGAUCCCCAUCAUCCCACUAGGAUCCCAUCAUCCCGCUAGGAUCCCAUCAUCAUCCCGCUAGGAUCCCAUCAUCAUCCCGCUAGGAUCCCAUCAUCAUCCCGCUAGGAUCCCCAUCAUCCCGCUAGGAUCCCCAUCAUCCCGCUAGGGUCCCAUCAUCCCGCUAGGAUCCGCAUCAUCCUGCUAGGAUCUGGCUUGUAUUGCCCCCAGGCUCUCUGGCAGCCAUCACUGCUUCCCUGGUUUCCCCAGGUCUCAGGCCAUCUGUGUGGGAUCACUUUAUACCUUCCAUGCUUUUUCUCUGGGCUGCAGACAGUUAGCAGGUCUCAGUAAGGACUCACUACUACAAUGGAAGAUCUUGUGUGGUUGGCAUUGGGCUGGCCGAGGCAGCCCAGGACCCGGCCUCCCACUCUCUCUCCCUGUUGCUUUCAGGUCUCCAUUUGUCCACAUCUGAGAAAAUCUUCCGUUUCCAGGACACAGGGCUGCUCCUGCGGGUACUUGGGAGCCUCUUCCUUGGCGGGAUUCUCGCCUUUGGUUUGGGCUUCUCUGAGUUCCUCCUGGUCUCCAGAACCUCCAGCCUCACUCUCUCCAUUGCUGGCAUUUUUAAGGAAGUCUGCACUUUGCUGUUGGCAGCUCAUCUGCUGGGCGAUCAGAUCAGCCUCCUGAACUGGCUGGGCUUCGCCCUCUGCCUCUCGGGAAUAUCCCUCCAUGUUGCCCUCAAAGCCCUGCAUUCCAGAGGUAACCCAGAGUCCCUUCCAGAAGCCUCUGUUUUCUGUUCUUCUCCCUGUGACUCUUAGUGAUUCUGAUGCAGGAAGUGUGCCCGGUGGCUCUGCUGCCGUCACUCCUCUAGGAAGAUGUGGGGGUCAUCUCCAGAGUGGGUGGGUGGGGCCUGGGUGACUCAGCACACAUGCAAAUCAGAGCAAACCAAGAAAACCACGACUGGGCCUGUAACUGUGGUCUCUCUCUAUCCCAAGGUGAUGGUGGCCCCAAGGCCUUGAAGGGGCUGGGCUCCAGCCCCGACCUGGAGCUGCUGCUCCGGAGCAGCCAGCGGGAGGAAGGUGACAAUGAGGAGGAGGAGUACUUUGUGGCCCAGGGGCAGCAGUGACCGGCCAGGGCAAAUGGCUUAGAAGCAGGCCACUCCCCACCCUGCUGCCAGCACUCACUGUGCUCAAGCCGCCGGGGCUCAUCAUGGUAGCUGGGAGCUGUGGACGGGAGUCACCAGGUGGUGGGACCAAGCCAGGGACUCAUGACUUUUGCCCCUCCCUUCAGAGCCUGGUCACACAAGGGGCGAGCACCAGGCCAGCCUGGGACUGGCCAGAGCUGGGCCCAAGCUGUGCUGGAAUCACAGCAGGAGAGGGGAGUGGGCUGGUUCUUCCCACCACUUCCCAGGCUCUGACAGCCGAGACUCAUUUCCAAGGCACAGCAGCUUUCUAAAGGGACUGAGUUUGGACUGGGUUUUGGACCUCGAGGGGCUGGAGCUUCAUCACCUGGGCAGUGUCUUUUCUCAGAGAGCAGGUUUCUUUAUAGUUUGGAAAUAAAUGGUUCACGGUCCACUGGCCGCCUUGUGUUGCUGGAGACGUGGGGGCAGGGAGGGGACAGUGUGGGCCUGGCCUCUCCUUUCCCUGCCUGGAGCCUUCUUCAAAUGUCUGGUCUUAAGCCAGGCCUCCUUCAUUUUCUCGCUCCUGUUCCCCAAUGGGGCCCCACUGCACCUGCUGGCAGGAAAUAAAUGAAUGUUUACUGAGUACUGCAUUCCGGAGACCUUAACAUGUUUUCACAGCCUAGUUUGAAUCCUGGCUUUGUCACUAGCUGUGUGACCCUAAGCAAAUGACCUAACCUGUCUGUGCCGUAGUUUUUUAAUCUGUGAAAUGGGGAUAAUGUCUAUCUCAGAGUCCUUUUGAAGAUUGAGUCAUUAUUAGUAACAGAUUAAAUGUUAUAUAAGCAUUUCUUUUAA
rnacentral:sRNA from 1 species